CCAUGGUAGCUCCGCGCGCGGCGCUGCCGGGCACCGGGACCCUCCCGGCCCCGCCCGCCGCCGUGCUGGCCCCGCCCCUCCCGCGCGCAGCGCCGGCCCCGCCCCUUCCCAACGGCCGCCCUCAGGGGCCUGCGGCGGGCGGAGCCGGCGUUUCGUCGGGCGCCGGUUCUGUUGUUGCAGUCCCUGCGUGACUGCGAUAAAGCGCGCCCGGCUUCGCGGAGCCGCACGUCCCUCCUCAGGCCUGAGCGCGGUGAUGUAGGCCAGGGUACAGCCCUGCCGUUACGGGAGAAACUUCUCCCAGGGCUACAUGGCGAGCCGGCCUGGGCCGCGGGGACGCUCAGAGCAGGGGAGGAAGUUACCCGCCUCGGGGUGGUUGGGGCCCCUUAGAGAGGUAUGGACUCUGGUAAAUAUGAACCCACCACAAUUGUAUCGUGGAUCUUUUUAAUAUUCUGGGGGGAGGGGGUGUGACAUAAAUAGCCCAGGGUUGAAGUGCAGAGCCACUUCCUUGCAAAAACUUCACACCCCCCAAAAAAGUUGGCUGCCUAAAGCGUGGGGCCCUGGGCGGUCAUCCAGUUUGCGCUGCCCGAAGGCUGCUGCUGUUUUCCAUCUCCCACGAAAAGAUCCCCAACUAGCCAACAAACAAACAGUUUGGGAAGGGGAGGGGAGGAACGGUCUGAAAUACAAACAUGCAGCACAGAUGUGGCAUAGACUGGGCUCAGGAACAAAAUGAGCGGCUGGGUGGUGUAGCUGAGGUCAGGCAGUUUCCACCCCUCCCUCACACUACUUGAAAAGCCAGGUGCCCAUUCACAUUGGGUUGAACUGUGCCCCAUCCAUCAGUACCCACAUGGUCGCUGAAAGGGAGUGCUUGGAGGAAGUCUGUCUUUAACACGGUUUCCUUCAUAGCUCGUUUUGCACCUGUUCUUCAUUCUGUUUUGAGGCUGUCUACGGAGUUGCUUAAGGAAUGUAGCUUUCUAAUGGACAAGUUAACCAGGAAGCCAAAGAGGAACAAUAGCAGGGAAGCCAUUAAUAAUGGUUUUUUCUAGGGACUUUGACCCCUGUACUUGCAAACAUUCCGGCCUGAGCUGAUUUUGUCAGAAAAAAACUACAAGUUGCCCAUGUGGAUUCCUUCCAACUCCUAGUUUGAGAAUCCAGAGGAAAGACCACAACCUGGCUUUUGGCCCUAGCAUUUCCGCACUGAGGAGCAACCUGCCUCCGUUAUCUUCUCCGUCAGCAGGAAGGUUCCAGAGUCCAUCAGUCCAAGCUGCUUCUGUAACGUUCUUGUUCCUAGAGUUGUGCUUCCUGCCACUAUUGUUGUAUGGCAAAUUGCACACCCUGCAGUUUCUGCUAUUUUUCUACAGCUUGGAGGAGGAGCGCCUGUGUUUGCUGUUGCUUUUGUAGUUUAGCCAUCUACUUUUGCUAUGUACCUAGAACAGGGGUGGGCAAAAUACGGCCCGUGGGCCAGAUCCGGUCCGCAAGGCCAUUCUGUCUGGCCCGUGGGGCCCCUAAAAAGAUUUUGAAAAUUAAAAUGCAUCUGUCCUUGGUUCCUGUAAAAAAUGACAGGAACUAGAGGCAGUAGGACCCAGGGGAAUCCUCGGCAGGCUUGCAACAGGAGGGCCUGCCCAGCCAGCCGCCACCCCAGCAGGGGCUUCUGGCCUGGGACCAUGUGGCUGCCCUGGCAUGGGAACCUCAGAUUUGCAUCUACAAUUGUACCUGCAAGAGGCCAUACACAGAACAGCAGCACAUCUCCUUUUCCAUGAACAACCUAUGAGGUAUCAUAAGUAUUUUAAUGCAGGUCUAAAAUACACAUUUCCUUAGCUUGUGGGAGAAGCAGCACUAAAUGGAGAAGACAACAUUCAAAUCACCUUGGAGUAUGUAAUAUCUAAUACCAGCUGCAGUACAGAGAUUUAAUUGAUAACAGCAUCUAAUGGCUAAUGCUGGAAGUAUGUCACGAUGCUAUUAGCGCAUGGAAGAGAAAGCGAGAGGGAUAUUGAAAGGAGGACAAGAAAAAAAGGCAAAAGAAAGGUGAAAAGGUGAUGGCACUCAGAAGAGGAGAUGCCGCUGUUGAUUGUAAACAGCAAUAACAAUUAGCCCAUUACCUGCGGGUGCCCCUGCCAUUACUGUUAAAGCUGCCAUCGAUUUGGUACCGAUAUAAUGACUUUUUAC